GACGAACGCUGGCGGCGUGCUUAACACAUGCAAGUCGAACGGAAAGGCCCUGCUUUUGUGGGGUGCUCGAGUGGCGAACGGGUGAGUAACACGUGAGUAACCUGCCCUUGUCUUUGGGAUAACUUCAGGAAACUGGGGCUAAUACCGGAUAGGAGCUCCUGCUGCAUGGUGGGGGGUGGAAAGUUUCGGCGGUUGGGGCUGGUCUCGCGGGUUAUCAGCUUGUUGGUGGGGUAGUGGCUUACCAAGGCUUUGACGGGUAGCCGGCCUGAGAGGGUGACCGGCCACAUUGGGACUGAGAUACGGCCCAGACUCCUACGGGAGGCAGCAGUGGGGAAUAUUGCACAAUGGGCGGAAGCCUGAUGCAGCAACGCCGCGUGCGGGAUAACGGCCUUCGGGUUGUAAACCGCUUUCGCCUGUGACGAAGCGUGAGUGACGGUAAUGGGUAAAGAAGCACCGGCUAACUACGUG
rnacentral:rRNA from 1 species